rnacentral:lncRNA from 1 species
AUGGAUCUCUAUCCGCGGGACCGUUUCACGCCUCCACCGGAGACAGACAGGGACGGGGGGCCGGUGGCCGAGCCGGGCACGGGGGCGGGAAUCCUCUUCCGAUUAAACUCCGAACAGCAAAUGCAUUUUCCGAAAAGCUGCUUGAUAAAUGAAGGCAGGACGCGCCCGGCCCGCCGGUGCCGAGCGCGAGAAGCCCGCGCUGUGUGUGGUGCGGCGAGGGGUGGGGAGAAGGAGGUGGUGGGGGAGGGCUUUAUUUUUUCCCUCUUCCUAAAAAGGAUGACUCCUACGAAGUUCUCCCCCCUGGACCCCCUCUUCCGCUGCACCCCACCGGCGCACCCCGCCUCCGGGCUGCGCACCCUUUCUCCUCCUCUAGCUCCUGCGCCGCGGCGCUGGCGGCGGCCGCCUCCCCCGCGCUCCCGCCGCGCACCCGCUCCGGGCGAUGACGGCCGCGCCGGCGGGGAGGGCCCGGCGCCCGGCACCUUCGCUGGCAGCGGCGGCGGCGGCGGCUCGGCGGGGAAACCGAGAGCCGCGGGCGCGAGCGCGAGCGCGGCGGGCGGGGAGGGGGGCGGGGAGGAAGGGGGCGGGCGCGGGCGGGGGCGGGGGCGGGGGCGGGGGCGGGGGGGGCCUGGCCUCUUACUUCAUUCUCCGCUCGAACCGACUGGUUUCCUGUACGUACGUCACUCUGUUCAUUCAAAAAAAGAAGAAAGAAAGAGCCCUCCUCGGAGCCGCCCCGCCGCCCCCUCCGCCGCUCCCCUUCCCCGGUUAAAGGAGCCGCGGCCGGGCCGGGAGCGGCGCGCCCCGCCGGGGACACAUGGCGCGCAGGGCCCCGGCCCGGGACGGCCCCCUCCCGCGCGCAGGGCCCGGCCGGUGGGUGGCGCGGGCGGCGCAGGCCUCCCGCGCGGCCGCGGCGCGGUGGGUGUGCGAGGGGCCUCCUCGGGCCUGCGGCCGGCCCGGCGCGCGCGCAGGGGCCAGCGAGGGGCCGGGGGCGCCCGGGGACCCCCACGCGGGCGGCCGGCGGCUGCUGACUAG